rnacentral:rRNA from 1 species
AACGAACGCUGGCGGCAGGCCUAACACAUGCAAGUCGAACGCCGUAGCAAUACGGAGUGGCAGACGGGUGAGUAACGCGUGGGAACAUACCCCUCGGUUCGGAAUAACUCAGGGAAACUUGAGCUAAUACCGGAUACGUCCAAGGUUUUAAUCGACCUUGGAGAAAGAUUUAUCGCCGGAGGAUUGGCCCGCGUCUGAUUAGCUUGUUGGUGAGGUAAUGGCUCACCAAGGCGACGAUCAGUAGCUGGUCUGAGAGGAUGAUCAGCCACAUUGGGACUGAGACACGGCCCAGACUCCUACGGGAGGCAGCAGUGGGGAAUCUUACGCAAUGGGCGAAAGCCUGACGCAGCGACGCCGCGUGAGGGAUGACGGCCUCGGU